UUGGAAAAUGUAAAUGUAAAUACAGAAAUGCAUUGCCAUUUUACAUAUUGCAUUGUCAUUUUGCAUAUUACAUCCCAAAUUGAAUAAUGCUACCCAUAUGCUUCCAUACGCGCGCACCUCCCAAAACAGAUGAGACAUUUAUACUUGACGCAACUGUUUUAGACUGAAAACCAGACCAUACAACUGAUUUAGACGCGGGUGCCGGUGUGAUGAGAUAUACUUAUAUCCGUCUGCUCGGGCAUGAUUGUUUUAGGCCUGUAAUGGAUUGAUUAUUGUGGUAAUAGGGUUUGUCACGGUUCGAUGAAAAAAAAAAAGUUCGGUUCAACCACACACGGUUCCGCACGCGCUUCAACUUAAACCUGACAAAGCAUCUGCAAUAUCAUCUGUAAUAUGACUUGCUAUAAAUGGCACGUAAAAAAAACAGGUUCAGGGUUCAGCUAAUAAAUGUUUAUGUUGAUGCAAGCGCAUUUUGGCUUCCAAGACAUUACAAAAACAUGAGAGGGAAAAAAAAACCUGGACAAAUCAUUCACUCUUGUUCAACGCGAAUGCUGUAGGUAAUUUAUUCCGUCAUCACCUGGGUGCUGAUAUCUGAAACUCAUUUAAGCUUUGUCAGUUUAAACAUUUAAGAGCCAGAGGACACGAGCACGCGCGCAGUGAGAAGAUUUAUGCGUGUUGCCUGUUAGUCACUAGCAAAUUAUUUAACUAUACAAAUAGUAUGACAAAAGUGAAAUAGUACUUAGGCCUGUAAUUGACUGAUUAUUGUGUGUAUAUACGAGUAAUAAGCCUGUGGAAAUACUUAGUUAUAUUACUGUUGAAAAUGUUGAAUUAUAGUUGGCAGUUUUUAUAGUUAUAUACUUACAUUUUGGCCUUUUUUAUAUAAUUUUUUACAAGUGGUAGAUCUUGGUUUACAUUUGGACAUUUGGAAAGGUUGGUGACCACUGAGUUAAAGCAAUUGGUCUACCCGUCAGUGUCUGAAUCAGUGUAUAACAAAUCAUUCUUCCCCUUUCAGAAUUUGUCGGUUUCUCUCCUAUCUUCUGAUACAUUAUAUUCAAUAACUACUUUCAGAUGGCUCCUAAGUUUGAAGAAGCAAUCACGUGACAUUGUGUUACUAAUGGCAGGGAUUUGUAGGGCAUUGGACCAAAACAUUCUUAUCUGUGGAAAAGGCAUGCAAAACAUUAAGAUAGCUGCUCCAAAAAAGUGAUAAAUCUCAUCUACCGAAGUUAAGUGAGAUCUCCCACUGUUACUCAGUGACGUGGCAUUUAUGCAGUCAGCAAUGAGUUUCAUCAGGUCUGAGUCAAUGUACUCCUCCACAUAAUCCAGUGUCUGCCAACCUGUUUACUCAUCUUUCAGUCCAUCAUCUCAAUCUUGAAACUGGACCAAAUUUGGUCUAAAUGGAGCAGACCACCAGCGUUCUCCAUGUCCAGCAUUCCUUGGUUCUGGUCUGGGCUCUCCAUGUCUCUGAUCUUCCUCAUCCAGCUCAUCAUUCUCAAUAUGCUGUUGUUUAUGUCCACGUCUGUGCACUUGUGAGUGAUUUGGCUGACUUUCAUUCUCAGAGUCAGUAUCUUUAGCUGCAUUAGGUGGUGUGUACUUGUAACCGGAAUCAUCUCCUGAUGAAUCAAUCGUUUGGCAAAAAAUCAGGAUGCUCAUCCAUGAGGUCAACAUCUUGUAAAAUGACUUCGUCCACAGCAGGAUCAUUAUCUUCCCCAUCUGAGAGGUCCUCCACCUCAGAGUUGUUUGCAAUUGCCAUGAUCAAUUGUUCUGCUCUUGACAAUGAAAGUUUUGCUGUAAUAACAUACUCAGCUGAGGUUUGAGUAGGCCUAUCUGCCGAUAUCCGAUAUUUACUAGAAAGAUUUACCAGGAUUAUAGCAUGAAUCACCUUGAUAAACCAUAUUGUAGUAUUAUUUACAAUGAUUUACCAUGAUUUAUUCUGCUCACACACACACACAGACAGAUGUUGUUGUUUUUUCAAUGCUUUAGAUCCAUCUAAAUAUUCCCAUGUUUAGCUAACCACAUGGUAGAAAAAAUAACGUUAUUUAGUAUCAAUGUCCUCAAACAAGUGCUUCAAAUUAACUGAUGUCUUAGAGUGCUACUAUUAAUAAAAUGUCAAAUUUUAAUCCCCAUGAAGAUAGAGACAGUAUUGUACAUAAAUACAUUUGUUUCAUUCAUAUAUUUUGAAUAUAUAUUUUUUAACUGGGUCAGACAAAAAUGUAAUGUCCUCAUAUGAGGUCGCAGGGUCUCAGGAGGUUAAUACUUAAUUUUAUGCAGUUUCUAUACCUUUACAAAAAAUUAUUGCAGUUUUUGUUAUAUGUAAAAAACUGCAUCGAUGCCGUUUACUGCAAUACUUCUGAAGUACUUGUGGCAGAAUGCAUUAACUAUGUAAUUGGUUAAACACUAGUUAACUUGUAAUAGGGCUGUAGUAUUCGAGUCCGGUCUUGGACUCGAGUCCGGACUCAACAUUUUUCUGUUCUCUCGGACUCUUUGCAUUUGCACUCGGACUUGGCCAUUGGACUCGCCAAGUCUUCUAGUUGGUCUCGGCCGAGUCCAGCCAAAAAUUAAAAUAAAAAAUGUAUCCUAGGCACGCAGCUCUCCUUAUUUCCAAAGCACUCUGUAAUCUGCGCUUGAGCUCCAGUGGCAUCUGCUGUUGCUGGGCAACCAUGUUUCCGCAAAGAAUAAAUGGAAAAUAUGUGCAUGACCAGCAGUGCACUUACUGCAACCUGAAAAGUUAAUGUAAAUUUAAAAACUUUGUAAUUAUGACUUAUUAAAAUUUUCAUGUGCAUUCGGAUACAACAUCGUACAGUUACUUGAUAAAGCCGUUAUGACUUUUUGUAUUGUUUUUUUUCGUAGUUAUCACUGAACAAGUAUGUCGUGUUAAACUAAAAUAAUUAUUAAUUUCUAAAAUAAUAUUUAUCAUGCAAACAGAGAGAAGUCAUGACAAACCUUUAGUGAUCAUUUGAACACGACUGAAUCCAUUCAAUGCGCACAUUUUCAUUACGCAGAACACUUUAAGCGAGUCUUAAUGUUAAUAAACUAAACUAAACAGAUCCCAGACAGCAUGGUAACAUUGAUUCAAUGUUGAGUUUUGAUCCAAACCAUCAUUUUGGUUGACAUCACAAUUUCAAUGUUUAAAGUGUGUUGGAUCAGCAUUGAAAUUUUGAUGAAAGGGAACAGCACACAUGGGUGAAGACAGUGACAUUGAACAAACAUUGAGUCUUAGUUCAUGAGCACACUAUCUUGCAGGCAUGUAUCUGUGCAAAACACUACUGGGUGUUUCCCAAUCAGUGGGGCGUUUCAGUUUAUGAUUUGCUCUAAUACACUGGGGGUUUGGUUUAGGGGUGGGCCCUCAUGAUUUUAGCAAGUCUUUUGAAAAAUGGUUGAAAAACCAAUUGUAGUUUGAAAAUUGGCACUAAUUGGUAUACGCCCAUUUUGGUUUUGCAUGUGGGCUUCUCAAUAGUUCAUUGAUGCUUCCUAAUUGAGAGAAAACACAAGGUGCGUCCUAUAUGGAAGUCUUGACAUGCAUGACCUCUCUGAGUUUCAAACAAUGGUGCAUAUAAUUAAUUUCUGUUUUUAGCAUGCUUUUUACUUGCAUUUUAUUUAUUGUUACUAAAUCUACUUACAUACAUAAAUUUUCAAAGUAAAACGUGUUGAAAUAAAUUGCACAGUAGCAUGGGGACAUGGGGAUACAAUGUAGUGUUUUCAUCCAAAACAUGUUGAAUCAUCAUUGAUAUUUUGAUUAAAGGCAAGAGCCAAAAUGGAAGUGGAUGAUGAAAAAUUAUCUCCAAUUCAUCGUAAGCCUUGUUUGAUAAAAUUCAAUAUUUAGCUGAUCUCUAGGAGCUCAUAAGCAUGAACAUUAAACUUGACAUAGCCCAUGUUUCUGUUACUCUACAAUUACUCCAAGGCAUUCAGUAGGAGGGGUUAAGGCUAAUGAGGAUGGAUAAUUAAAGAAAAGAGAAGCGCACCCUUAAUCAUGCUGACAUUGAUCAUACAUUGAGUUGUAGUCCACAGCAUAACUGCUUGUCACAAGAUUGGAUUGUAUCCCAUCUCCUGCUAGCAGAUUUAUUAGGUAAACAUUAAUAUUCCUGAAAAAGUAUCAAACGUAACAGUUCUAAAAGGUACAACUCAAAAUCAAAGCUGUUUUCAUGUGAUAUUCAAAUAGAUUAAUGGUUUAGCAUUAGGUAAAUCUGCAGCUUUAAUGAAACAGCUUUAUAAUUAAGCUGUUCCCCAACUGUGUUCCCACAAACUUAAUUCAGAACAUUUCACUUGCUACAAUAAAUAGGUUCUUGGUAAAUUAGGUGCCAUAACAUUUACAAACCGUCAACAUACUGAAGUCUUGUGUAUUAUAGCUCUUCCAUUUGCAAAUGUUCAAAGCACUAAAUGUAAAAUAUAUUGAAACCGUAAUAGAGUUUAGAUUAGUUUAAAUCCGUGAUACUAAAAUCAUGUUCUGUCUGUAUUCAUAAAUAGUUAAAGGUAAAUGUUAUAUUUUCAAUAUAUUUUUAUGUGACUUUAUGUAUGUAUGUAUGUAUGUUGUAUGUAUGAGAACUUAUUUUACUUUUUCAGAGACUCCAAAAGAAAAGAGACACAGUCUGAGCCAGAUUUAAUCAAAUUGAACAGUUGCACCACUUGCAGCAAUAAUGACUUCACGGUGGUCAAUCAUUGAUUAAUGAUUCAUUCAAUCAUUGGUGGUGAUCAAUGAUUAAGUCCACAGAGUCAGAAAUACUUCAACAAUUCUAUGAAACCAGUGCACAAAAUUCUGUGUCAGAAGAAAAUCAUGUUGAAGCAGUAAAGGAUUAUGUUGAAUACCCUAAAGUUGUUAUAGACUCAGCUGGUUCAGAUUGAAAUGAUUCAGUCACAGAUGAGCUCCCUGGUGGGGUGUCUGAUGAGGUUCUGUGGCAUCCAACCAAUAUACACAAUGUUAAUAAUAACACAGUCAACUUAUCAGACGUUGAUACUCUGAUACUGAGUCAGAAGCUCCAACGAGUGAGUUUCUUUUAAGGACUUUGUGAUAUUGGGCCUCAACCUUCUCAGUCUCACUUGCUGCACUCAGUGCACUUUUAAGUAUUUUGAGAAUGUUUCAUCCAGAAUUGCCCACAGAUGCCAGGACAAUUCUUAAGACCCAAACCCAUGUAUCUACCAUAAGGAUGGAAGGUAUUAUCAUUUUGGCUUGGCAAAGGGGAUAUUGUCGUGUUUGAAAAGCUUAAUUCUGCCUGAACAAUUGAAAAUAGUUAAAGUACAGUUCAAUUUAGAUGGCCUUCCACUUUUCAAAAGCUGUACUCUUCAGUUCUGGCCAAUUCUUGCCAUUGUCAAUUGUGACUAUACUAAACAUCCCUUUCUCGUUGGCCUUUACUGUGGUAUGAAAAAGCCCAAGUGCAUAUUUGAGUUCUUAAAGCCAUUUAAUGAUGAUUUAGCUGAUGUUCUUAUGGGUGGUAUUGUUUACAAUGGUCAAAACAUAUUGGUAGAAGUAAGCUCUUUUGUGUGUGAUGCCCCUGCCAGAGCCUUUGUUAAAAUAAUAAAAUCUCACAAUGGUAAUACUCAGGCUGUGACAAAUGUGUUCGAGUAGAUGAGUGGCAAAAUCAAAUUCACAUACCCAGAAACUAAUGCAAAGUUGAGGACGGAUUUUGAUUUUAAUGAUAUGAUUGAUGAAGACCACCACUUGAACCAAAAACUUUCUCCUUUAGCUGGCUUGGUAAAAAUGGUUACCAUGAUUCCAUUAGAUUAUAUGUACUUGUGCUGUCUAGGCGUCACUAGGAAACUUUUGAACUUAUGGAUCAGAGAUAAAGCACAUACUACUAGGUUGUCCGCUCAAACUGUAGCUGACAUUUCUGAAAAGUUAAAGCUGGUGAGUUCCUACACGCCGGUUGAGUUUAGUCGGAAACCAAGAGAGUUAUCAGAAAUUGUCCGCUGGAAAGCUACUGAGCUGCACUCUUCUAUGUUGUACCCAGGCCCUCUUGUGCUUCAGAAUAGCAUUCAAAUGCCAAUGUAUGAGAACUUUAUGCUGUUUUCCGUUGCAAUGUAUUUGCUUUUAUCCUCUGGAACCCCAGAGGCGAUGAUUGAUUGUGCUCAUGAAUUGCUUGUCUCAUUUGUUUGCUUUGGACAACUGUAUGGUAAACAUGAAAUAGUCUAAUAUACACCAGCUCACUCAUCUGGCUGAAGAGUAUCGUUUCUUUGGAUAAUGUGUCAGCAUUUCCUUUUGAGAAUUAUUUAGGACAAAUAAAACGUCUUUUGCGCAAGCCUUACUUACCCUUACAGCAAGUUGUGAAAAGGUUAUCUGAGAUGCCAAGUCCAGAUUCACCAAAGCCUCAUGAGUGCUUAACUUAAGUCAGACACAUUUUGACGGUCCAGUGCUCCUUAGUCUUGGCAAACAGUUCAGAAAAGCUGUCACUGAAAAGUACACUCUGUCAAUAGUGCAAGGAGAUAAUUGUGUGCAAAUAGUUGGCCACAUUGCUAUUUUAAGAAAUAUCAUCAAGGUAGAUGGAGUAGGGAUUUUUUUAUCUUGUAUUGUAGGGGAGUUAUUUUGUUGUAAAAAUGAAGCAGUGGUGCAUCGUUCAAUUUCAAAAUGGAGGCACAGAAAAUUCUGCCACACAGCUGGCUGAUUGGAAAUCAGCCAAGAUACAGGCUGCAGUGAAAAAAUAUGAGCUGCCUACUGAGGAAUGGUUGUCCUAUGAACCUUGCAAUUCGGGCCACAUAUGAAGAAGCUGAGAAGGGUUUGAAAAGAAACCUACAGGAGAACUGCAACACAAGUGACAUUCAGUCUGAAGUAGAAACUCUAGAAAAUCCAGACACAAUCCCAUUUACAACACAUCUGAUACAGAAGAGGAAGUUAAAAAAAGAAAGCUCUGCCCAGCUCUUAGACUUCUAUUUCCAGUCUCCAAUAUAAUGCAGGCUCCUGUUCAAUCAGCUUCCAGAGUCCAGACCUUUGUCCAGCACUCUAAUCAAAUUCUGCCUAACCAUCCCUCCGAGUCCUCUGACCAGAUGUGCAGCAGUUCUCCAUACUUGACUGAGUCAAGUGACUCAUCAGCCCUGCCUUCCAUGUACCCCUGCCAAGAACCAUCUUCCAAGGAUCAUGAGGGUAUCCAUUACAGAAGUGCUUAGGCAGUUUUACAAUGAGACCAAUAUUUGCUUUGAUUUUAAUGUCCAGAUUCCUAAUUUCAGGCAGUUUACACCAAUAUACAAUACUGUUACUUUAUCCUAAAAUAUAAUUUGGUUGCUAAUCUGCGAGUCUGUUCACUAGCAAUAGUUUUUUUCUUGUUGGAGAUGCAAGGGAUUCUGCAAGAGAGUUAAUGAAAGGCAAGUGCAGAGAAGUUUUCCUACUUUCCUUAUACAGUAUACAUGUUAAAUAUGUUUUGACCUGUAAUGUUUUUUUAUUCUCCACAAGAUGUUGCUUUACAAAAGUUGAUUGGAACUGUAACUGAACUUGUAAAAGAAGUGAAGGAACUGCGUGAGGAAUGUCAAGAAUUCUUCAGACAGUCUUUGCCGUCAAAGCAACCGCUGCAGUCCCUCUGCACAAUAGUGAUGAGCUUGAGAGUGCAGAGGAGAUAUUAGCAUCCAGUGAAGCAAGGACAUUAAUGAAAUUGACCUUACUUCAUCCAAUAUUUCCCUGUUCCAGUUCCUCCAUUAAUGUAUUAAAUUGCAUACAUUUCAUAUCCUGUUGUUUUUCUUUUGUUAGAUGCUAUGACUUUGCAGAUGGGUGUGGGAAAAGUUUCCCAUUAUGAAUAUAGUCAGGUAGUCCAGAAAUGGCUCCGACAUGCACCGUACUGUGUGUGGGCGGAACUGCACUUCAAACAAGUGAAACUGUUCCGUCGGUGUCUCCAGAUACAAAUUAAUUUGCUUUUUUGUUCAUUGGUUUACUUGUUUAUUGGUUUACUUUUGAGUCUGUAUGAUGUUUUUUUUUUUACAUGGAAUUGAGUGCUUUGAGUUAAAUGAAUUAAAAGAACAAAGACUGGAAAAUAAAGAAUGUGAUUGAAACAGUGUUUUUAAUUUUUUAUUAAUAUAGUUGGUUGAAUAUUGAUUCAAUGUUAUGAGCAUGUUUUUGUUUUCAAAUUUAAUAAUGUUUCGAAUGUGGGUGCAAAAGUGACGUUCACUUUGUAAUGUUGAAGCAAUAUUACCACCAUUGAUUUGUGGUUGAAAUCUGAACAUUAUUUCAAUAUUAACCGAGGGUGCAAGAGUGAUGUUAAAGUAACAUCAUUUUCUAAAGUUAUUUCAAUGUAAUCAGCGUUGACACAUCAACACUGACUCAACAUUGUUUCAAUGGUUACAUGCUAUCUGGGAUGUGUGUGUGCCGCACAAACCAGCAAAAGGUAAAUAUACCAACAU